CAACACGAGACAUUUUCAAGUAGCUUCUCGGUUUUUCCCUUUUUCUACCGUCUCUAACUGCUUGCGAAGGGGGGCGCGCAAACACUAAGGGGAAAAGCCUACACUUCAACCGACACCC
ensembl:ncRNA F42H10.16 ncRNA